rnacentral:rRNA from 1 species
GACGAACGCUGGCGGCGUGCUUAACACAUGCAAGUCGAACGGUAAGGCCCUUCGGGGUACACGAGUGGCGAACGGGUGAGUAACACGUGGGUGAUCUGCCCUGCACUUCGGGAUAAGCCUGGGAAACUGGGUCUAAUACCGGAUAGGACCACUGCCUGCAUGGGUGGUGGUGGAAAGCUUUUGCGGUGUGGGAUGGGCCCGCGGCCUAUCAGCUUGUUGGUGGGGUGAUGGCCUACCAAGGCGACGACGGGUAGCCGGCCUGAGAGGGUGACCGGCCACACUGGGACUGAGAUACGGCCCAGACUCCUACGGGAGGCAGCAGUGGGGAAUAUUGUACAAUGGGCGCAAGCCUGAUGCAGCGACGCCGCGUGAGGGAUGACGGCCUUCGGGUUGUAAACCUCUUUCAGCACCGACGAAGCGCAAGUGACGGUAGGUGCAGAAGAAGGACCGGCCAACUACGUGCCAGCAGCCGCCUAA